rnacentral:rRNA from 1 species
GACAACAUUCAAAUCACGUUCAAAGUACCAGUUCUCCUCUGAUCAUUGAAGCUCAAGUAACGUUGAGCAUGGUUAGUACUUGGAUGGGUGAAUCGCUUGGAAACACCGUGUGAUGUUGUCC